rnacentral:rRNA from 1 species
GACGAACGCUGGCGGCGUGCCUAACACAUGCAAGUCGAGCGGGGUUGAGGCGAGAGGUAACUCGAGCUUCUACCUAGCGGCGGACGGGUGAGUAACGCGUGGGCAACCUGCCUCAAGGUUUGGGAUAACAGCCCGAAAGGGCUGCUAAUACCGGAUAUGCCUAUGGCCUCGCAUGGGGCUAUGAGCAAAGGGGAAACCCGCCUUGAGAUGGGCCCGCGUCCCAUCAGCUAGUUGGUGAGGUAACAGCUCACCAAGGCGACGACGGGUAGCCGGCCUGAGAGGGUGACCGGCCACACUGGGACUGAGACACGGCCCAGACUCCUACGGGGGGCAGCAGUGGGGGAUCUUGCACAAUGGGCGAAAGCCUGAUGCAGCGACGCCGCGUGAGCGAAGAAGGCCUCGGUUGUAAGCUCUGUCUGAGGGACGAAGGAAGUGACGGUACCUCCGGAGGAAGGCCACGGCUAACUACGUGCCAGCAGCCGCGGUAAC